rnacentral:rRNA from 2 species
UGCUAGUCGAACGAGCUCUGGUAUUGAUUGGUGCUUGCAUCAUGAUUUACAUUUGAGUGAGUGGCGAACUGGUGAGUAACACGUGGGAAACCUGCCCAGAAGCGGGGGAUAACACCUGGAAACAGAUGCUAAUACCGCAUAACAACUUGGACCGCAUGGUCCGAGUUUGAAAGAUGGCUUCGGCUAUCACUUUUGGAUGGUCCCGCGGCGUAUUAGCUAGAUGGUGAGGUAACGGCUCACCAUGGCAAUGAUACGUAGCCGACCUGAGAGGGUAAUCGGCCACAUUGGGACUGAGACACGGCCCAAACUCCUACGGGAGGCAGCAGUAGGGAAUCUUCCACAAUGGACGAAAGUCUGAUGGAGCAACGCCGCGUGAGUGAAGAAGGGUUUCGGCUCGUAAAACUCUGUUGUUAAAGAAGAACAUAUCUGAGAGUAACUGUUCAGGUAUUGACGGUAUUUAACCAGAAAGCCACGGCUAACUACGUGCCAGCAGCCGCGGUAAUACGUAGGUGGCAAGCGUUGUCCGGAUUUAUUGGGCGUAAAGCGAGCGCAGGCGGUUUUUUAAGUCUGAUGUGAAAGCCUUCGGCUCAACCGAAGAAGUGCAUCGGAAACUGGGAAACUUGAGUGCAGAAGAGGACAGUGGAACUCCAUGUGUAGCGGUGAAAUGCGUAGAUAUAUGGAAGAACACCAGUGGCGAAGGCGGCUGUCUGGUCUGUAACUGACGCUGAGGCUCGAAAGUAUGGGUAGCAAACAGGAUUAGAUACCCUGGUAGUCCAUACCGUAAACGAUGAAUGCUAAGUGUUGGAGGGUUUCCGCCCUUCAGUGCUGCAGCUAACGCAUUAAGCAUUCCGCCUGGGGAGUACGGCCGCAAGGCUGAAACUCAAAGGAAUUGACGGGGGCCCGCACAAGCGGUGGAGCAUGUGGUUUAAUUCGAAGCUACGCGAAGAACCUUACCAGGUCUUGACAUACUAUGCAAAUCUAAAAGAUUAGACGUUCCCUUCGGGGACAUGGAUACAGGUGGUGCAUGGUUGUCGUCAGCUCGUGUCGUGAGAUGUUGGGUUAAGUCCCGCAACGAGCGCAACCCUUAUUAUCAGUUGCCAGCAUUAAGUUGGGCAUUCUGGUGAAAAUGCCGGUGACAAACCGG